rnacentral:lncRNA from 1 species
UGUUCAGGAUCAUUCUUUUGAUCAUCAGUAGUUCACGUCCGUUAUGCGUAGAUCUUUCCCCCCUCUUAUUUCUUGUACUCGUAAGUUAGCCACCAAAUAUAUGCUUAGCCGCUGCUGCUACCUCACCACUUAACCAUACCUCACCCAUUAAGCUUUGCUAGUCUUGAUACCUCUGGAAAUGAGAUUGCUGAGUCCCCUGUGGCUCACAGAUUACUACAACACCAGUUGCAGGUACAGG